ACCGGCCGUGACUGCCUCCCAACUGGCGCCCUCAGCGCGGCGGUGGCGGCAGUGGAGACACGCCCCCUCCUUUUUCUAUUGGACACACCUCUUUUGCCCGCUCCCCGCCCAACACUCCAGGGGCGGGGGCAAGCAGGCUGACGUCAGGGCGAGGAACUUUCAGGGUUGCGGCAAGACUUGCCGGUCUUAACUUGAGCCGGCGCGACCCUGGUCUGACCCACAUGGUCCCAUCCCAUCCCUAAAUAGUUCUGUUCAUAGUAUGUCCCGGUUAGUGACAGAAACAAUUUAAUGGUGAGAGAAGAAGAAUUUAAUGGAGAAGAAUUUAAUGGAGAGAGAAGAAAGCGUCCCUCCCCCCCACGCCCGCCCGGACAGGCGUUCGCGCAGACUGACCUGGCCGCACGGUCUUGAGACGCACCGGCUCCCUGAAGUGGCGGAGGAUGGCCAGGGUGUCGCGGUGAGUGAGGCCGCUCACAGGGGUGCCGUUCACCUCCAGCAGCACGUCCCCGGGGCUGGGGGACUUCCCCGAGAGCAGCAUGGGGCCGCUGGUCCCGCCGCCGGACUCAGCCAGCGUCGGCAGGCGAGCCCCCAGAUAAGGGAACUCGCCGCGCUCAGCGCCACCCUGCAGGAGGUCAGGGUCCGGGCCGAAGCCGCCCCCCCAGGACACGGCGCACUCCUGCACUUUGCUCAGCCAGUGCCGCUUCGUCCGCAGCGUUUUAGACAUGAGGCCGCACCAUGGGCGCUGCUUCGCGCGCUGCUCUGUCCCACAGCAGCGGCUAGCAGCGAGCACCGCCUCACCGCCAACCAAGCGUCAAUUCGCGCCAACCAAGCUCUGUCCCACAGCAGCGGCUAGCAGCGAGCACCGCCUCACUGCCAACCAAGCGUCAAUUUGCGCCAACCAAGCGUCAAUCCGUGCCUCCUUCCCUUCAGCCGCCACCGGCCGCGACUGCCUCCCAACUGGUGCCCUCAGCGCGGCGGUGGCGGCAGUGGAGACAUGCCCCCCUCCUUUUUCUAUUGGACACACCUCUUUUGCCCGCUCCCCGCCCAACACUCCAGGAGCGGGGGCAAGCAGGCUGACCUCAGGGCAAGGAACUUUCAGGGUUGCGGUAAGACUUGCAGCGGCUAGCAGCGAACACCGCAUCACCGCCAACCAAGCGUCAAUUCACGCCAACCAAGCUCUGUCCCACAGCAGCGGCUAGCAGAGAGCACCGCCUCACCGCCAACCAAGCGUCAAUUCACGCCAACCAAGCGUCAAUUCGCGCCUCCUUCCCUUCAGCCGCCACCGGCCGUGACUGCCUCCCAACUGGCGCCCUCAGCGCGGCGGUGGCGGCAGUGGAGACAUGCCCCCCCUCCUUUUUCUAUUGGACACACCUCUUUUGCCCGCUCCCCGCCCAACACUCCAGGGGUGGGGGCAAGCAGGCUGACGUCAGGGCGAGGAAGUUUCAGGGUUGCAGCAAGACUUGCAGUGGCUAGCAGCGAGCACCGCCUCACCGCCAACCAAGCGUCAAUUCACGCCAACCAAGCUCUGUUCCACAGCAGCGGCUAGCAGCGAGCACCGCCUCACCGCCAACCAAGCGUCAAUUCGCGCCAACCAAGCGUCAAUUCGCGCCUCCUUCCCUUCAGCCGCCACCGGCCGCGACUGCCUCCCAACUGGCGCCCUCAGUGUGGCGGUGGCGGCAGUGGAGACAUGCCCCCCUCCUUUUUCUAUUGGACACACCUCUUUUGCCCGCUCCCCGCCCAACACUCCAGGGGCGGGGGCAAGCAGGCUGACGUCAGGGCGAGGAACUUUCAGGGUUGCGUCAAGACUUGCCGGUCUUAACUUGGGCCGGCGCGACCCUGGUCUGACCCACAUGGUCCCAUCCCAUCCCUAAAUAGUUCUGUUCGUAGUAUGUCCUGGUUAGUGACGGAAACAAUUUAAUGGUGCGAGAGAAAGUGCUUUGCGGAACAGUAUGCAAUGCCUCAAAUCUCCUAAACCUUGUAUUUGACCUAAAUUUGACCCACUUCAUUGUAAGCCCUUUAAUUUUGGAAUUCCUGUAGAUGCCACUAGAAUUUAUUUCAGUUUGCUCAGAAUCGCAGAUUUGCAGCCCGAGAUGCAAGCCUGUUUGCAAUUCCACUGAGUUCAAAGGGACUUACUUCAAGUCCAAAGUAUCUGUAUAGACAGCUGUCACCACAUCAGCCCAAACAGCAAAUCCAUCUCCAGAGCAUCUCUGUACCUUGCACUUCAUGCAUGCUGCAAUGAUUAUGGCUUCCUUAACUCCAGCUCCACUGCUGCAACAAAAACAGAGCCCUGUUGAAAAACCAGCAUUAAUUCCUGUCUCUGCCUUUGUUGGCAUAAGAUCUGCAUACUUUCCCUUCCCUCUCCUUUGCUGAUUUACUUGUAACACCUCACAAGCAUGUAAAGUAUCUGAGCUCAUCUGGAGAUAACCAGGAGGAAUGUGUGCAUUUCAAGUGCCUACCUAAUGUAUUGAGGUGUGAAGCAUUAUGUAUUUAUUAGAGUGUUAAAGCCUAAAAUCUCAGAGAGCUAGGGCUCUAUCACACCUGGGGAAAGGAGUGGUUUUAGUUGAAAGUGCAGUACAAAGAAAAGGUUGCAGCCUUCGUUGUGGCUAUCAGUAUUCAACUCAUGUAGAAAUCCUACUCCAAAGAAGGGAAAUGUGAUCUUUAUUGGUGUUAUAAUUAGAGGAAGAGGCAGAUCAGGUCAAUAGAUCUCUUUGGUAGGGAGGGAAACAUCAUUUGUUUAUGCCAAUGUGAAGGCAAAGGGGAAAAAAACAAACGUUAGAAAAUGCAUCAUAAGAUGAAGUAUCUAAUAACAAUGCUAAGAUGGACUGUUUGCACUGCAAAAUGAGGGGAAACUAUGCAGAAGCUACAGAAGGCUUAUUACAAAAAUAUGUUUUUUCCUGAUCGCCAAUCCUUUCAAAAGGAAAACAGAUAGCUCAGGAUUUGUAAUGCCAUUAUAGUUUUCCUAGGAGCUCUGUUUUAAUUUUUGGUGUGGGGAGAGGGAGGAGGGGAGAAAAACAGCCACAAGGUAUGUAGAAUCAUGCUGUAAGACUCAUAACAGGUCAGUCUUAUAAAUGCUUACUCAAGACCUA